rnacentral:sRNA from 1 species
GUCGGGCACGGUGGCGCACACCUGUAAUCCCAGAGACUGGGGAGGCUGAGGCAGGAGGAUCGUGAGUUCAAAGCCAGCCUCAGCAACUUAGCGAGGCACUUAGCAACUCAGAGGGACCCUGUCUCUA